CGGAUGUGAAAGAAAAUGGUCUCCAAAAUAGAAUUUUCCGCUUUUCCAUUAACAUUUAACCUACAAAAAACAUGUAAAAUAAUUUGCUAUAAACAGGUGGUGCAAUUUGAUGAGUAAUCAUAUAUACAAAACAUCAAAAAAUAAAUUAACCUGCUAGCUUAAAGUUCCUCCCAUUGUUAGUAAUAACCAACAACAUUUUGUUCUCCAAUCCUUUCCACAAACCCAUCUAGGAGCUCAAAAACCUUUUCACCAGUCUUCAUAUAAGACGAAGCAUCAACAGACUCCAUAAACACCGUUCCUUUAGAACCGUUGACAAGAAAGUUAAUCAAGGUUCUUUGCUUCCUAUCUGUCCAUCCAUCCGGCAUUACCGAACAAGCGUACUUUAUCCACACAGUUCUAUGAGUUUCGACCCACUUCUCCACAUGUUGUACCUCAUUUUUUAGCAACGGAAUGCGAAGCUCAUGGUAUGAUGGAGGCUUUAAAUGCGGCCCAUAGUUCCCAACAGCCACAGGAAUCUCUUUAAAGGAGUCCAUAUUAGCCACAUUAAAAGCAACCCCAGCCUGGUAGAAAAACGCUGCAAUGGACUGUAUGGUUUUGGCUCGGAUCUCUUUAUUACAAGCAUCCUUGAUGCUUGUUUGAACUUGUUUUCCUUUACCUGUUUUUAAAAACAUUACAGACAACAAAACAGCCAUAAAAACACAACUGAAAUUCAUUUAAUGAAGAUACAAUCCGAGUCUGAGAUAGAAUUUAACACACCACUGAUUUAAUUAACUAAGACAGAACUUAAUACACGACUGAGUUAACUAACUGAGACAUUAACACAUGACUGAGGUAACAAUCUGAGACAGAAUUUAACACACAACUUAUUUGAUUAACUGAGACAGAAUUUAACACACCAAUGAUUUGAUUAACUGAGACAGAAUUUAACAUACAUGUAAUUAACUAUACCUUUUGAAAACAUCACAUCUAAUGGCCCUUUCACAUUAGUCUUCUGCCUCUUGUUUUGAUGAGCAUGUAUCUCUAUUACUUCAUCAUCCUCCUGUUCAUCAGCCAAAUCACCCAGGGCGUCAUUUGUUUUAUUGGCCUUUUGGCUCAAAACAUAUGUCAUCAACUCGUCUUUAACCUCCUGUGGAACCAAGGGCUGUUCAUAAAGCUCGCGACUCGUAGCUCGGCUCGUAGCUCGCUCGAAAGAAGCUCGAGAAAAACUAGCUAAAAAAACUCAAUUUGAGAUGACGUGAACCAAGCUGGCUCAUUUUGUAACCAAGCCCAGCUCGAGCUAAGCUCGGCUCGGCCCAUGGCUCGGCUCGUUCUUAGGCUCGUUUAACUCUGACGUAAAGCUCAAGCCAAGUUUAGCCUCCUGAAUUAAUUUCGAUCUUGAGCUCGGCCCCACCCUGGCUCGACUCGUUUAGCAUGAAAAAUUCCACCUUUCGUACAUGACUUGACGUUUCUGUUUCCUCCAAUUUGGUGUAGUUUAGCACGAAAAAUUCCACCUUUUGUAAUCUUGUUGCAUGAAACUGCAUUUGUAUCAUCAGGAUUUCUCAGAUGAUUAUACUUCCAUCCAGGGUUCGUUUUCCUGCUCUCUGAUGGUCCAACAUCUUGAGAAUCCAUAGCCUGUAGCAUAGUUCCCAUGGAUCAUGAAUAUGUCACUGAAUGAUGAAAGAAUAAAGAACUGAGUGAUCAUAUACCUGUAGUAUUUUUUUUGCCGGCAGAAAAAAACAGAACUGUGAAUGUUGUGGCUGUGUAUACGAGUUAUCUGUUAUAUACAGAAUGAAUAUUAUGUAAAGAUAAUAUAUCUCUUAAGUUUUUUAAAUUGAAAAUAUCUUUUAAAAAUAUAUACAGAUUUGAUUAGAUAUUAUUCUAAAAUAUUUAAAUUUAGCUGUAAUUAAAAUCUAGUUUGUUAUUAAAGAUAUUUUUUUUAAAGAACGUUGCUUUUUUUUUAUCUAGGAGACAAAAGCGGAACAUACGCAUCAUUACACAACCAUGUUGUGUAUUUGGGGUUGGGUUGAGUAACGGGUUCUGUGCCUUCUUUGUCUUUACCGGAUGCAGAGGAGGUUGUGAUGAUUGGUGGCGGGCAGGGAAUACUGCCAUUAACAUUGCCGAAUAGGCUGUGGGUGGUUAAAAAGGGUUGUAUCAUAAGUUUCCAAUGGCCAUAAUUUGUGGGGGAUAAGGUAAAGCCAAACUUAUGGGAAUUGUGUUAUGUUUUUUCUACAGUGGUGAAGGCAAUGAGUUGCUGAUCAGCCAUAGAAAGGGAAGAAAAAAAUAGUGACAGUGAACAGUACCGUGAAUAGUGACGACGAACAGUACCGUGAAUAGUGACGAUGAACAGUAGCGUGAAUAACAGUAGCGUAAUUGUGAUUGCUGGAAGGUGGCGGCUGAUUAGGGUUAAGCUCUGAUACCAAGAUAAACUUGGUAUAAUUGUAUAUCGAUUGUGUUAUGAUUGUGAUUACAAUGAGAUUACAUAUAGGAUAUAUAUAUAGACUAGGAUUACAAAGAUUUGGGUCGGCUAUAAUCAACUUAGGGUCGGGCCUAUACUAAGACAUAUAUCAACUAAUACUAAAGCAAAACCCUAAAUCCUAAAACCUAAACCUAAUCCUAAAUAUGUAUAUUAUAGGGUUCGAUGAGACGGUUCCAAUGCCGCUGGAAUGAGUCCAGUCGGAGUUCGUUUGAGUCGGUUCCCCACUUUUUUAGUGUUCCCCAUUGAACCCAACCCUAGAUAGUUAUAUGGUUCUAAUUUGUAUAAAUUUGGUAGUUGAGAACCGAGGUGAAUAAAGCUUUGGAGACUGCCCGUACCAGGAAACUCAUUGGUUCGAGUCUAGAGGCAAAGGUGUACCUUCAUAGCUCCGAUAAUAAGCUCGCUGAGAGAUUAAGGAAUAUGUGUGAAGCUAAAAUCGAUGCGGACUCCCUGCAUCGUAUAUUCAUAACGUCUCAGGUUGAGAUUCUUUCUACAUUGGAGGACGCACCAACAAAAAAUAUACCAUAUUCCGGAGAAUAUUUAAUUCAAGGAGAAAAUAAAAUAUGAAUCGGGGUGUCACGUGCAGAGAGUUUGAUAUGUGAAUGAUGCUGGAAAUUUUCACCUCAUGUUGGCUCGUUUGUUGAUCACCCGACGCUUUGCAAACGUUGCUAUGAUGUUAUUGCUGGUCAUCCACUUCCUGCUCUUGCAGCUGUUAGUUGACCUUUAGACGCGAAGUGGGAAGUAAAAUCGUGCAGAGUUUCAGAAUCGUGCAUGCUUCUGGAUACAUUUUCAGUUUGACCAUGUAGUUGGAUAUGUUACAGCUCAUUCAUAGUAAAGAAUUAAAUUUGAUCAUUUUGAAGUUAAAGGGAACUCUUAGCUUAGAAUCUACAAACAUAAAGGUUACAGACAUUUGCAUAUUAUAGUUUAUAGAUUAAAUAGUGUUUUAUUUAUCUGC